GCCGCCAUAGCUCAGUGGUAGAGCACGUCAUUGGUAAUGACGGGGUCGCAAGUCCGAUUCUUGCUGGCGGCACCA
rnacentral:tRNA from 1 species